rnacentral:rRNA from 1 species
GAGUUUGAUCCUGGCUCAGAAUGAACGCUGGCGGCGUGCCUUACACAUGCAAGUCGAGCGAAAACAUUUUCGAAGGGCAACCGGAGAGGAUGUUUGAGCGGCAAACGGGUGAGUAAUAGAUAGGUAACGUACCCCUAAGACGUGGAUAGCUCAUCGAAAGAUGAGAUAAUACGCGAUAAUGUUGCAUCACGAUAGUGGUGCAAAGAAAGCGGGCGCAAGCUCGCGCUUUCGGAUCGGCCUGUCUCCUAUCAGCUAGUUGGUGGGGUAAGAGCCUACCAAGGCAAUGACGGGUAGCUGGUCUAAGAGGAUGGUCAGCCACAUUGGAACUGCGACACGGUCCAGACUCCUACGGGAGCAGCAGUGGGGAAUCAUGGU